rnacentral:rRNA from 1 species
GACGAACGCUGGCGGCGUGCUUAACACAUGCAAGUCGAACGGAAAGGCCCUGCUUGCAGGGUACUCGAGCGGCGAACGGGUGAGUAACACGUGGGUGAUCUGCCCUGCACUUCGGGAUAAGCCUGGGAAACUGGGUCUAAUACCGGAUAGGAGCCAUUUUUAGUGUGAUGGUUGGAAAGUUUUUUCGGUGUAGGAUGAGCUCGCGGCCUAUCAGCUUGUUGGUGGGGUAAUGGCCUACCAAGGCGGCGACGGGUAGCCGGCCUGAGAGGGUGGACGGCCACAUUGGGACUGAGAUACGGCCCAGACUCCUACGGGAGGCAGCAGUGGGGAAUAUUGCACAAUGGGCGCAAGCCUGAUGCAGCGACGCCGCGUGGGGGAUGACGGCCUUCGGGUUGUAAACUCCUUUCGCUAGGGACGAAGCUUUUGUGACGGUACCUAGAUAAGAAGCACCGGCUAACUACGUG